UUUUUAUCCGUUACUGCAUCAUACUGGGUGUUUUAAAAGUAUUUUUACUGUUGUUUAUACCGUUUUUUCUGUCCUCCUCCCUCUCUUCUCCCUUUUAAUUACUCUACCUUUCUAGAAAACUCACACAUUCACUGUAACUGAAGAAUAUAAUGAGUUUUAUAAUCACCCAAAUUCAAAUCCAAUCUCACUUUACAUGUGCAUACAGUUAUUGCCCUAACUCUCUGCACCAAUGGCACUUCUAUUUGCAGAAAUCUGCCCGCGUGACCCAUGGGGACAGGAAUGAAACCGCCAUUCAUUCAAGAGGGCUUUGCCACCGAGACGCCACCGAGGUGCCACCGCUUCCGAGGCAGAGAGCCGCGGCCGGCUGGACAAAUAACGUGCUUCGUGCUGCUCAGGAGCCAGGUCCAGUUAGCAUAGGAGGGGAGCAGCUCUUUAACAGGCCCUGAAGCUUUAUCAUCAGUAUACCCUUACAGACGGUAUCUUAAAUCACGGCAUGAAAUCGAGCCCGUUCUGUGACUGCUGUCUGUGCGUGAGCCACAUCAGCGGCUGGCAGCCCUCCCGAGCCCUGGCAUCCUUCCUCAGCAGCCUCAAGUCCAAUUAGACUUCACCUCAGGUAACUCUUCAAAAGAAAACUCAAAUAAUCCUGACGUGAUGGGCGACAUGUCAG
rnacentral:lncRNA from 1 species